AAUGAAAAUCAAAACAUUUUAACUUUACAAAAAGGGAUAUUGCAGUGUUUUGACAAAAACUAAAAAAAUUAAGCUGUUUUGUAGAAACUAUAUGAAAUAAUAAUGCAAUUACUUUCAUUUACUCACUUGAAUGGUACUCGCUAUUAAGUAGGUGUCAAGACCGUAUAAAGGUAUAAUAAAAUUAUUUGUGAAUUAUGCACACGAGAACGUCUUCUGGUUUGCGCAUGCGCAGAUAAUUGAGUGCGCUCAACACCAUAUAAGGAAAAGAAGGCGGUAAGGAAGUGGCGCGUUUGAAAUGAGGUAGAGUUCCAGUCAAUGGGCUAUAUGCACGCAUUACUUCCGCGUUUUGUCUAAGGCCGCGGUCCAGCUUCCGGUCUGGGUGAUGUUAAGCGGAGGUAAAUAGUAUUAUGGCAGAGUCGUCAAUAUUUACUCGCUGUUUGCGAGUAAAUUAUGGUCAACGAUGUGCAAAUGAUUGUCCGGAUGUGCUCUACAACACCGCAGAGCAAAGCUUGAGAAAGGUUUCAAGUUGUAUGCAUCUUCCUACCUGUGCAAUUAUGAAGGUAACAUUAUGAGAUUCAGAGCUAGAAAAUUAUAUGUGUUACUUCAUCCUGGAGCGGACAUCCGUCAGAAGAUCCAUGCCAUCGUCUGCUAGUUAAUAGCUCCUGCUCUUGUGUGGCUGAGAGUGGGAUAUGCAAACAUUUGGUUGCUUUGCUUUUCCAGACAGCCCAUUACUCU